CCGGCGAACUUCUGCGCCCAUAGGCAGAGUGGGAGCAGUCGGGAUACGAGUCCGAGUUCUACGCCCAGCUGCCUGGGCAGAACGCCGGCCCCGUCUGUCCUGCC
rnacentral:lncRNA from 1 species